rnacentral:rRNA from 1 species
UACGUAGGCAGCGAGCGUUGUUCGGAAUUACUGGGCGUAAAGAGUGUGUAGGCGGUGCUCCCAGUCUGUUGUGAAAUCUCCCGGCUUAACUGGGAGGGUGCAGCGGAAACUAGAGUGCUAGAGGGUGGGAGAGGUAAGCGGAAUUCCUGGUGUAGCGGUGAAAUGCGUAGAUAUCGGAAAGGAACACCUGUGGCGAAAGCGGCUCACUGGACCACAACUGACGCUGAUGCACGAAAGCUAGGGGAGCAAACAGG